CAGCCGUAAACUAUGCUCGCUAGGUGUCAGGCAUGGCGCGACCGUGUCUGGUGCCGCAGGGAAGCCGUGAAGCGAGCCACCUGGGAAGUACGGCCGCAAGGCUGAACUUAAGGAAUUGGCGGGGGGAGCACAACAACGGGUGGAGCCUGCGGUUUAAUUGGACUCAACGCCGGGAAGCUCACCGGAUAAGACAGCGGAAUAAUUGCCGGGCUGAAGACUCUGCAUGACUAGCUGAGAGGAGGUGCAUGGCGUAGACGUCU
rnacentral:rRNA from 1 species